rnacentral:rRNA from 1 species
UACGUAGGGGGCAAGCGUUGUCCGGAUUUAUUGGGCGUAAAGCGCGUGUAGGCGGUUUGGUAGGUCCGCUGUGAAAACUCGAGGCUCAACCUCGAGACGCCGGUGGAAACCAUCAGACUAGAGUCCGGAAGAGGAGAGUGGAAUUCCUGGUGUAGCGGUGAAAUGCGCAGAUAUCAGGAAGAACACCCGUGGCUAAGGCGGCUCUCUAGUACGGUACUGACGCUGAGACGCGAAAGCGUGGGGAGCGAACAGG